rnacentral:rRNA from 1 species
GUGCCAGCAGCCGCGGUAAUACGUAGGGUGCGAGCGUUGUCCGGAAUUACUGGGCGUAAAGAGCUCGUAGGUGGUUUGUCGCGUUGUUCGUGAAAUCUCACGGCUUAACUGUGAGCGUGCGGGCGAUACGGGCAGACUAGAGUACUGCAGGGGAGACUGGAAUUCCUGGUGUAGCGGUGGAAUGCGCAGAUAUCAGGAGGAACACCGGUGGCGAAGGCGGGUCUCUGGGCAGUAACUGACGCUGAGGAGCGAAAGCUUGGGGAGCGAACAGGAUUAGAUACCCUGGUAGUCCACGCCGUAAACGGUGGGUACUAGGUGUGGGUUUCCUUCCUUGGGAUCCGUGCCGUAGCUAACGCAUUAAGUACCCGCCUGGGGAGUACGGCGCAAGGCUAAAACUCAAAGGAAUUGACGGGGSCCGCACAAGCGGCGGAGCAUGUGGAUUAAUUCGAUGCAACGCGAAGAACCUUACCUGGGUUGACAUGCACAGGACGCGUCUAGAGAUAGGCGUUCCCUUGUGGCCUGUGUGCAGGUGGUGCAUGGCUGUCGUCAGCUCGUGUCGUGAGAUGUUGGGUUAAGUCCCGCAACGAGCGCAACCCUUGUCUCAUGUUGCCAGCGGGUAAUGCCGGGGACUCGUGAGAGACUGCCGGGGUCAACUCGGAGGAAGGUGGGGAUGACGUCAAGUCAUCAUGCCCCUUAUGUCCAGGGCUUCACACAUGCUACAAUGGCCGGUACAAAGGGCUGCGAUGCCGUAAGGUUAAGCGAAUCCUUUUAAAGCCGGUCUCAGUUCGGAUUGGGGUCUGCAACUCGACCCCAUGAAGUCGGAGUCGCUAGUAAUCGCAGAUCAGCAACGCUGCGGUGAAUACGUUCCCGGGCCUUGUACUCACC